UGUAUGGUGUUGUCAAAAUCUGGGUAAUCAUUAGGGUAAAUGGGACUUGGAAAAAAUUUUCAUAUUGUCCGUGCGUCUAAUCCAAAGAAACACACUCUGGAGGAACUUCUGGAAGUUUAAGAUGAAAAAACCGACUAACUAAUGGCUGACAUUCAUCGAUGAUUGCCUGGCUGCAAGUACUUUGACCCAGUAACCCGAUGCAGACGGAUCAAAUACUCGUUGCUUUCUUGGCUCUCUUGGUUUCUUCCCUUCUGCAAUGGCGGCAGGUAUGUUUUUCUGUGUUUAUCAGUAUCCAUUUAGAAAGUUUCUAAAUAUAUUUCUAUAAUAUAGAAUGUGAUCCAGAUUUGACAAAAAUCCAUACGAAGAUCAAUACUUUGUACGUGAAGCAGCCACUUAAAAUCAAAAGCAUCGGAAGCAUCUUCAUCAUCCAAGGAGUCAUUUUUGCACGGAAUUUUGAUUUUAUUUUCAUGUAAAACUUGAGACAAAUAAAUGUUUUAUGUGCUUUA